GACGAACGCUGGCGGCGUGCUUAACACAUGCAAGUCGAACGAUGAAAUUCUGACGGAGGCUUCGGCCAACUGAAGGAUGGAUUAGUGGCGGACGGGUGAGUAACGCGUGAGUAACCUGCCUUUCAGAGGGGAAUAACAUUUGGAAACGAAUGGUAAUACCGCAUAAUGUUAUCGGACCGCAUGAUCUGAUAACCAAAGGAGCAAUCCGCUGAAAGAUGGACUCGCGUCCGAUUAGCUAGUUGGAGAGGUAACGGCUCCCCAAGGCGACGAUCGGUAGCCGGACUGAGAGGUUGAACGGCCACAUUGGGACUGAGACACGGCCCAG
rnacentral:rRNA from 1 species